UACAGAGGGUGCGAGCGUUAAUCGGAAUUACUGGGCGUAAAGCGUGCGCAGGCGGUUUUGUAAGCCAGAUGUGAAAUCCCCGGGCUUAACCUGGGAAUGGCAUUUGGGACUGCAUGGCUGGAGUGCGGCAGAGGGGGAUGGAAUUCCGCGUGUAGCAGUGAAAUGCGUAGAUAUGCGGAGGAACACCGAUGGCGAAGGCAAUCCCCUGGGCCUGCACUGACGCUCAUGCACGAAAGCGUGGGGAGCAAACGGG
rnacentral:rRNA from 1 species